GUCUGAAUAAGAGAAAGAACAAGGGGAGGGGAACGCUUCUGCCAUUUUAUCUGUAAGGAAAAAAGAAACCAUAGAAGAAGUAGAAAACUAAAAUGACCUUCAGAACUAAUUUCUGGUUGAUACAAAAGAAGGAAUUUAAAAAUUGGGAAUCUGAUUGUCUACGAGAAUUUUUGUUUUGUUUUUUUUGUGGAAGCUUAGCCCUGAGCUAACUGCUGCCAAUCCUCCUCUUUUUGCUGAGGAAGACUGGCCCUAAGCUAACAUCCGUGCCCAUCUUCCUCUACUUUAUAUGUGGGACGCCUACCACAGCAUGGCGUGCCAAGCGGUGCCAUGUCCGCACCCGGGAUCCGGACUGGCGAACCCCGGGCCGCCAAAGCGGAACAUGUGCACUUAACCGCUGCGCCACCAGGCCGGCCCCUACAAGAGUUUUUUUACACUGGGUUUCAUAACUCAACGAUCUUGCCCGAGGCCCCAGGAGAGAAUGUGGAGUUAGGUCGGAAGGCAGAAGUGAGUUACUGAAAAUCGUAGGUGGUUAAUAUUAACUUCCUUGUCUUUCAUGAAUAAAGCCGUCACCCAGAACUCAUGGGUGAAACGCAGAGGGCUUUCAACUAAACCAGUGAUUGGCACACUUUCCCUAAAGGGCCAGACGGUCAAUAUUUCAGGCUUUGCAGGACAAAGAGUCUCUGAAGCAACGUCUCAACUCUUCAGAGGGAUGUCGAGUCAGCCGGGACAGCAGCAAGCAGCUGAUUGAUUCACUGGCGAAUCCUCAGGUCUCCAGCGAGAAGCAGGAACAUGAGCAUCUUCCCAGCUCUCUGGGACCAUGGCUGGUUCUGUGCAGCAGUGACCAUCCGAACAGGGCAGUGUCCACACUGCAGACUUGCCCUUCACGUGGUGAAGCCAUGAAACCAAAUGCAAAAGCUCGGACACUUUGCAAGAAGACAACACGAUUAUAUGAGAUACUGCAACAACUGAUAGCCCUGUGGCUCUCUCAAGUUACUGAUUAAGCAUUAAAAAUAGAAGCAUGGCCUGCCUAGGUUUCAAAUGCUGUCUCAUUUCUCAUCUGAGUAUAAAUACUAUCUUUCUGCAUAUUUGUGAUAACCAGCUCCUACACAAUAUAUCUCUCUUAUUGACAGCUAGUGAUGUGUCAGGAAUGGUGGAAAAUGACAGAGGUUCUGAGCAGGUAGGGUAGAUCUGGAGGGUCCCUGAGGAAAGGCCCUUGAGUUGGGCUUUGAAAGGGGUGUGGGGUUUGGCAGCCCACUACAGUGGGGGUGGUCCUUGGGCUAUGGUAAGGAGAGGACCUGCGUCACGUCCAGCUGCCAGGCUGGACCUAUUGCCAAGGAAAGCAUCACUCAGGACACAUCUCCUGCUGAAAGCGUCGACAACUGCAGCUCUCUCCCAAAGUUUAAUUCGUUUACUGCAAGGAAGUGCUUAUUUUCCAGGAGUUAAGCAGACAGCUCCCAGCCGGGCCUCAUCUUCCACCCCUCCUCACCAGCUACCAUGGCAGUCACUGCAUAAAGAAGUCCUUUAGCUGGAGAGAUGUGGCUGCCACGAUGCCUCAUUUUCAACGUCCCCAUAUUCCUGGCACUUUGCCAGCCCUUUGGGACAAAGACACUCUUGUCUGUGUCUACAGAUGCUCUUAGUGGCCUUGGCCAUGUGGGAAAGAUUAGAGUGUUUGCUUAUUAUGGGAAGCGUCUAAUAAAAUCAACCUGGGUUUUUAGCAUAUUUGAUGGAAGCCAGGUCUCCAAAUGCAGCUGAUUUUAAACGCACUCUCACAGUGGAAAGAACACAGCCUGUGGCAUUACUGUCAGUGAAGCGGAGUAAGCUAGACGAGUCUGAGGAAACAGGAUCGCAACCAAGAGGAGUCAGAAAAAUCAGCUGCCCUGGGAGGUGAACACAGGGAGCCGUGGAUAUAUUUAACCUAUGAGUCACAUGACUAGACUCUACUUAGGCAGAAGUAAAACAUGUUUUCCUUUAAAUGAUUAAACUUAGUUGAAAUUAGUUCAAGAAAAAUUUCUUUUCCCUCUGAAUGAUUUUUUUUUUCCCCAGGCUUAAAGAGUUUCAAGAUGAAAUUUGUUUUCUUAAAGAGAAAACUUACAUCAAUAGCUUUCAAACUAGACACAUCUGUGGACUUAGAACACCCCAAUGACAUCAAAUAAUGUAUUUGGCCCAUCUCCUACAUCUGGAUGUUUAAGACAGCACAUCAAAAAAAGAAAAAGAAAAAAAAAAGGAAGGGGAGUUAUAAAUACUUCCUUGGUCUCUUGAUAAUAAAACAAAUGGAUAUGGACUUGAAUUCCAAGUAUAUUCCAUCUUCUUGGGCAUAAAGUUGUUAAUGCCUACUCCUGAAGAGAUAAAAUAGUAAAAUUUCAAGUCUAUGGUUGGGAAAGGUUAGCCAAAAUUUCAUUUUAACAGUUUUUCUGCAAUCCAGUCUGGAUUCAAGUUAAUGUCAAAUCAAGACAUGUGAGCUAAACCCAGGACGCGUGAGUGGUCCAGCUUUGGAAAGGGUGGGUUUUAAGUAAGUGGGGAAGGGAGAGGAGAAAACUGAGUCAAAGCAAAAUGCAAGCAUGCCCGACAGGGCCGGCUCUCAGUAGGCGGCUUUGGGGUGUUCCCUGCUCUUACUUUGGGGUUAGUUAACUUAAACUUAAUGAGGUUUUCUUUCUUUUCUACCAACCAAUGACCAAAACCUCCAAUUAGUCAUGAUCAGCACCUAUUGGUAUUUCCUUUGCUUUUUCCCUUGUGGGGAAAGGAUGCUUUCUCUGUCUCCUUCUUCUUGAAAUUCUUCUUUCCCCAAACCAAUUACUUUUUUUUUUUUGAGGAAGAUUAGUCCUGAGCUAACUACUGCCAAUCCUCCUCUUUUUGCUGAGGAAGACUGGCCCUGAGCUAACAUCCACACCCAUCUUCCUCUACUUUAUAGUGGGAUGCCUACCACAGCAUGGCUUUAUGCCAAGCAGUGCCAUGUGCGCACCGGGAUGGGGCCACGAACCCGCUGAGAAGCAGAACCUAGGAACUUAACCACUGCGCCACCGGAGCGGCCCACCGAUUACUUUUUUGAUGAGGGCUCUUGACGAGGCUCAGCAUUCAGGCGCCACAUCUCCGCAGAACCCGAGGGCCCACGGCUGCCCGCUACUGCGCUCCUCCGCGGAAAGGCUGGAGGGUUGUCCGCUCUCGGACGAUCAGCCCCUGCCCUCCUGUCCCGUCUGGGUUCUGUACCUGCGCGGGAGACAGAAACAGGAUGAGGAGGCCUCUGAGGCGCGGCACAUUCGUUACCUAUUCCAUCCUGGGGAGUACUUUUACCGCCCCGUCCCUCCCCCAGUCUGACAUCUGAGAAAGGGGAGGCUCGGAGAGGUGAAGUCGCCCACCGCCCCGUGAGCUCCGGGAGGCAAGGCCGCGAAGUCUUGGACGCAGGCCCGUGAGCGUCAGCCUCGGGAAUGCUUUCCAGAAACGAACAGAAAGCCCCGCCGAGGUCCCCCCAGGCCUGUCGGAGCCCCGGUGUUAGUUCUUCCGGGCGGCGGGAGUCGGCGGACCGGAGGGCCGGGGAGCGAGAGCCGGCGGGCGUGGAGGGGGCCGGGCCGCAGGCGGGAGGAGAGCACGCCGGCCCCACGGCCCUCGCCCCCUCCCAUCCAGGGACCCGGCACCCGGCUGUCGCUCCCACACCACCUCCCAGGGUUUGCGCGCCCCCUGCCCGGCCGCCCCCCACUCCCAGCUUUCGCCCCCGGGUCUCGCGCCC
rnacentral:lncRNA from 1 species